rnacentral:rRNA from 1 species
UGGGGAAUUUUGGACAAUGGGCGCAAGCCUGAUCCAGCCAUUCCGCGUGCAGGAUGAAGGCCCUCGGGUUGUAAACUGCUUUUGUACGGAACGAAACGGCGCUCUCUAAUACAGGGCGCUAAUGACGGUACCGUAAGAAUAAGCACCGGCUAACUACGUGCCAGCAGCCGCGGUAAUACGUAGGGUGCAAGCGUUAAUCGGAAUUACUGGGCGUAAAGCGUGCGCAGGCGGUGAUGUAAGACAGAUGUGAAAUCCCCGGGCUCAACCUGGGAACUGCAUUUGUGACUGCAUCGCUGGAGUGCGGCAGAGGGGGAUGGAAUUCCGCGUGUAGCAGUGAAAUGCGUAGAUAUGCGGAGGAACACCGAUGGCGAAGGCAAUCCCCUGGGCCUGCACUGACGCUCAUGCACGAAAGCGUGGGGAGCAAACA